GAUGAACGCUGGCGGCGUGCCUAAUACAUGCAAGUCGAGCGAACAGACGAGGAGCUUGCUCCUCUGACGUUAGCGGCGGACGGGUGAGUAACACGUGGAUAACCUACCUAUAAGACUGGGAUAACUUCGGGAAACCGGAGCUAAUACCGGAUAAUAUAUUGAACCGCAUGGUUCAAUAGUGAAAGACGGUUUUGCUGUCACUUAUAGAUGGAUCCGCGCCGCAUUAGCUAGUUGGUAAGGUAACGGCUUACCAAGGCAACGAUGCGUAGCCGACCUGAGAGGGUGAUCGGCCACACUGGAACUGAGACACGGUCCAGACUCCUACGGGAGGCAGCAGUAGGGAAUCUUCCGCAAUGGGCGAAAGCCUGACGGAGCAACGCCGCGUGAGUGAUGAAGGUCUUCGGAUCGUAAAACUCUGUUAUUAGGGAAGAACAAAUGUGUAAGUAACUAUGCACGUCUGGACGGUACCUAAUCAGAAAGCCACGGCUAACUACGU
rnacentral:rRNA from 1 species